rnacentral:rRNA from 1 species
AGACGUCUACAUUAGAUACCCGUGUAGUCCCAGCCGUAAACUAUGCGCGUUAGGUGUAUCGGUGACCACGAGUUACCGAGGUGCCGAAGGGAAACCGUGAAACGUGCCGCCUGGGAAGUACGGUCGCAAGGCUGAAACUUAGAGGAAUUGGCGGGGAGCACCACAACAGGUGGAGCCUGCGGUUUAAUUGGACUCAACGCCGGGAAGCUCACCGGAUAGGACAGCAGAAUGAUUGCCGGGCUGAAGACCCUGCAUGACUAGCUG